rnacentral:sRNA from 1 species
AUCAUAUAUCCAAAUGUUAUUCUAAAAAGUAAGCAAAGCUUCUUAUAGAGGUGUCAAAAUAGGUAACCCAACUCAACUCAACUCAUAAUCAAAUGAGUUAUGGGUUGACCCAACUCAUUUUGUUAAAUGAAUUGGGUCAACCCAUAACUCAUUUAAUUUGAUGGGUUGAGUUGUUAAAUGGGUUAACCCAUUUAAAUAAUAAUUUAAUUAAUUAUUAUUAUAAAACAAUAAUAAAUAAUUAUCAUUAUUAAUAAUUAUUAAUUCAUUAUCAUCAAACUUAGAAUAUUUACAGAUUUCACCGUUUACGGAUUUACGUUUUUGGCGGGAAAAUCACGUGUUUUCGUUUUUGGCGGGAAAAUCACAGGUUUUUGUUUUUGGCGGAAAAAUCACGGAUUUUCGUUUUUGGCGGGAAAAUCACGGGUUUUCGUUUUUGACGGGAAAAUCACGGGUUUUCGUUUUUGGCGGGAAAAUCAUGGAUUUUCGUUUUUGGCGGAAAAAUCACGGGUUUACGUUUUUUGCGGAAAAAUCACGGAUUUACGUUUUUGGCGGGAAAAUCACGGGAUUAUGUUUUUUGGUGGAAAAAUUACGAGUUUACUUUUUUCAAUUCAUCGCUUGUAUAUUUAAGAAAUUUGGAAAAAUAUUGAUUUUAUUAGAUUGGUUUAGAUGUGUUGGUUAAACUUAAAUUGACAUUGGUUUAGAGAUUUUAGUUGGUUUAAUUCAAUUUUACAAAAUUUGAUGGGUUAAUUGGGUAAACCAUUGAAACCAUUAACCAUUACAACCCAACUCAUUUUACUCAUCAAACCAAUUGACCAAAUAACUCAUUUGACCCAUCAACUCAUUUGAGUCAAAAAUUUCAACUCAUUAGGGUUCAUGGAUUGAGUUGAAUUGAGUUAACUCAUGAAUUUUGACCCAUUUUGACAUCCCUAGCUUCUCAUAACAUUAUUCUUCAAUAAUUUCCAUCAACUGCUUUGCCGAUCUUUAGACCAGCUCUUUCUUUCCUUUAAUUUCU